CAAUAGCGUAUAUUAAAGUUGUUGCGGUUAAAAAGCUCGUAGUUGGAUCUCGGCAGGCAGGGGGUGGUUCGCUCUUAGCGCUACUGCCCCAUUUGCCUGUGUGAUUGGCGGAGGUUUCGGGGUGCUCUUCGUUGAGUGACCCGGGGCGCCGUCAGGUUUACUUUGAAAAAAUUAGAGUGCUCAAAGCAGGCUUUUCACGCUUGAAUAUUCGUGCAUGGAAUAAUGGAGUAGGAACUCGUUUCUAUUUUGUUGGUUUUCGGAAAUCGAGUUAAUGAUUAAUAGGGACAAUUGGGGGCAUUAGUAUUCAGACGACAGAGGUGAAAUUCUUGGACCGUCUGAAGACUAACUACUGCGAAAGCAUUUGCCAAGAGUGUUUUCAUUAA
rnacentral:rRNA from 1 species